rnacentral:rRNA from 1 species
AGUGAACGCUGGCGGUAGGCCUAACACAUGCAAGUCGAACGGCAGCACAGUAAGAGCUUGCUCUUACGGGUGGCGAGUGGCGGACGGGUGAGGAAUACAUCGGAAUCUACUUUUUCGUGGGGGAUAACGUAGGGAAACUUACGCUAAUACCGCAUACGACCUACGGGUGAAAGCAGGGGAUCUUCGGACCUUGCGCGAUUGAAUGGGCCGAUGUCGGAUUAGCUAGUUGGCGGGGUAAAGGCCCACCAAGGCGACGAUCCGUAGCUGGUCUGAGAGGAUGAUCAGCCACACUGGAACUGAGACACGGUCCAGACUCCUACGGGAGGCAGCAGUGGGGAAUAUUGGACAAUGGGCGCAAGCCUGAUCCAGCCAUACCGCGUGGGUGAAGAAGGCCUUCGGGUUGUAAAGCCCUUUUGUUGGGAAAGAAAAGCAGCAGGUUAAUACCCCGCUGUUCUGACGGUACCCAAAGAAUAAGCACCGGCUAACUUCGG